UAAUUGCCGGUAUCCUGGGACACUGUCAGUCACAUGAGGGGGUGUGGCAUUGGCUCAGAACCAAUGAGACUGCUGCUGAGGCAGCAAAUCAGGGGCCUAUGAGACUCACAUUCUUAUAAUUUGGGGGCCAAACACUCGGCCCCUUCGUCAUUGCAGGAGAAAUGGUGGGGUUUCUGGGCCUGAUUCUGUUGGUCUUUCCAGCCUGUAAGUCUGACCCAAUGGGAGCUGCUCCAUAAGCUUACAAUCUAAUGGAGGUUCUGCUAGGGGUGUAAGGUGCCACAUUUAGAUACAAUUGGGGGGGCAGUACCUAUAGGGGUCCAAUGGGGCUCAGAGAAUUGUGUUUUUGUUGUUCCGCAGGUUUUGGCCAAGUAACGGUGACACAAAGCAAAAGGCUUGUAUUAGUGAGGAGAGGCGGGUCGGUGCUGAUCCCUUGUCACCAGUCUGCCAGCGACUAUUUCAACAUGUUCUGGUACCAACAGAAACCUGGGCAAGGCCUGACGCUCAUGGUCUGGUCAACUGGUGCCAAGGAUGGGAAAAUGGAGGGUGAAUAUGGGGCGAGGUGGCACCUGGAGAGAAAUGACACCCACAAUUCUGAGCUGAACGUGACCGGAGCGGAACCGGACGAUGCUGCCCAGUAUUUCUGCGCUGCGAGUAGCACAGACACAGACAGUGGCGGAACAGCUGGCAUAGAACCCAUUGGGUUGGGAGACACCUACAGGCCGGACUGGGCAUUGCAGCUUGGCAGCUGUGGGGCAUGAAAACUAAAGUGAUAGAAAAAGUCUAA